rnacentral:rRNA from 1 species
UACGUAGGUGACAAGCGUUGUCCGGAUUUACUGGGCGUAAAGAGCGCGCAGGCGGUCGUUUCAAGUCGAGUGUGAAAGCCCCCGGCUCAACUGGGGAGGGUCAUUCGAUACUGAUCGACUCGAAGGCAGGAGAGGGUAGUGGAAUUCCCGGUGUAGUGGUGAAAUGCGUAGAUAUCGGGAGGAACACCAGUGGCGAAGGCGACUACCUGGCCUGUUCUUGACGCUGAGGCGCGAAAGCUAGGGGAGCAAACGGGG